rnacentral:rRNA from 2 species
AGCGUACACGGUGGAUGCCCUGGCAGUCAGAGGCGAUGAAGGACGUGCUAAUCUGCGAUAAGCGUCGGUAAGGUGAUAUGAACCGUUAUAACCGGCGAUUUCCGAAUGGGGAAACCCAGUGUGAUUCGUCACACUAUCAUUAACUGAAUCCAUAGGUUAAUGAGGCGAACCGGGGGAACUGAAACAUCUAAGUACCCCGAGGAAAAGAAAUCAACCGAGAUUCCCCCAGUAGCGGCGAGCGAACGGGGAGCAGCCCAGAGCCUGAAUCAGUGUGUGUGUUAGUGGAAGCGUCUGGAAAGGCGUGCGAUACAGGGUGACAGCCCCGUACACAAAAAUGCACAUGCUGUGAGCUCGAUGAGUAGGGCGGGACACGUGGUAUCCUGUCUGAAUAUGGGGGGACCAUCCUCCAAGGCUAAAUACUCCUGACUGACCGAUAGUGAACCAGUACCGUGAGGGAAAGGCGAAAAGAACCCCGGCGAGGGGAGUGAAAAAGAACCUGAAACCGUGUACGUACAAGCAGUGGGAGCACGCUUAGGCGUGUGACUGCGUACCUUUUGUAUAAUGGGUCAGCGACUUAUAUUCUGUAGCAAGGUUAACCGAAUAGGGGAGCCGAAGGGAAACCGAGUCUUAACUGGGCGUUAAGUUGCAGGGUAUAGACCCGAAACCCGGUGAUCUAGCCAUGGGCAGGUUGAAGGUUGGGUAACACUAACUGGAGGACCGAACCGACUAAUGUUGAAAAAUUAGCGGAUGACUUGUGGCUGGGGGUGAAAGGCCAAUCAAACCGGGAGAUAGCUGGUUCUCCCCGAAAGCUAUUUAGGUAGCGCCUCGUGAAUUCAUCUCCGGGGGUAGAGCACUGUUUCGGCAAGGGGGUCAUCCCGACUUACCAACCCGAUGCAAACUGCGAAUACCGGAGAAUGUUAUCACGGGAGACACACGGCGGGUGCUAACGUCCGUCGUGAAGAGGGAAACAACCCAGACCGCCAGCUAAGGUCCCAAAGUCAUGGUUAAGUGGGAAACGAUGUGGGAAGGCCCAGACAGCCAGGAUGUUGGCUUAGAAGCAGCCAUCAUUUAAAGAAAGCGUAAUAGCUCACUGGUCGAGUCGGCCUGCGCGGAAGAUGUAACGGGGCUAAACCAUGCACCGAAGCUGCGGCAGCGACACUGUGUGUUGUUGGGUAGGGGAGCGUUCUGUAAGCCUGCGAAGGUGUGCUGUGAGGCAUGCUGGAGGUAUCAGAAGUGCGAAUGCUGACAUAAGUAACGAUAAAGCGGGUGAAAAGCCCGCUCGCCGGAAGACCAAGGGUUCCUGUCCAACGUUAAUCGGGGCAGGGUGAGUCGACCCCUAAGGCGAGGCCGAAAGGCGUAGUCGAUGGGAAACAGGUUAAUAUUCCUGUACUUGGUGUUACUGCGAAGGGGGGACGGAGAAGGCUAUGUUGGCCGGGCGACGGUUGUCCCGGUUUAAGCGUGUAGGCUGGUUUUCCAGGCAAAUCCGGAAAAUCAAGGCUGAGGCGUGAUGACGAGGCACUACGGUGCUGAAGCAACAAAUGCCCUGCUUCCAGGAAAAGCCUCUAAGCAUCAGGUAACAUCAAAUCGUACCCCAAACCGACACAGGUGGUCAGGUAGAGAAUACCAAGGCGCUUGAGAGAACUCGGGUGAAGGAACUAGGCAAAAUGGUGCCGUAACUUCGGGAGAAGGCACGCUGAUAUGUAGGUGAAGUCCCUCGCGGAUGGAGCUGAAAUCAGUCGAAGAUACCAGCUGGCUGCAACUGUUUAUUAAAAACACAGCACUGUGCAAACACGAAAGUGGACGUAUACGGUGUGACGCCUGCCCGGUGCCGGAAGGUUAAUUGAUGGGGUCAGCGCAAGCGAAGCUCUUGAUCGAAGCCCCGGUAAACGGCGGCCGUAACUAUAACGGUCCUAAGGUAGCGAAAUUCCUUGUCGGGUAAGUUCCGACCUGCACGAAUGGCGUAAUGAUGGCCAGGCUGUCUCCACCCGAGACUCAGUGAAAUUGAACUCGCUGUGAAGAUGCAGUGUACCCGCGGCAAGACGGAAAGACCCCGUGAACCUUUACUAUAGCUUGACACUGAACAUUGAGCCUUGAUGUGUAGGAUAGGUGGGAGGCUUUGAAGUGUGGACGCCAGUCUGCAUGGAGCCGGCCUUGAAAUACCACCCUUUAAUGUUUGAUGUUCUAACGUUGACCCGUGAUCCGGGUUGCGGACAGUGUCUGGUGGGUAGUUUGACUGGGGCGGUCUCCUCCUAAAGAGUAACGGAGGAGCACGAAGGUUGGCUAAUCCUGGUCGGACAUCAGGAGGUUAGUGCAAUGGCAUAAGCCAGCUUGACUGCGAGCGUGACGGCGCGAGCAGGUGCGAAAGCAGGUCAUAGUGAUCCGGUGGUUCUGAAUGGAAGGGCCAUCGCUCAACGGAUAAAAGGUACUCCGGGGAUAACAGGCUGAUACCGCCCAAGAGUUCAUAUCGACGGCGGUGUUUGGCACCUCGAUGUCGGCUCAUCACAUCCUGGGGCUGAAGUAGGUCCCAAGGGUAUGGCUGUUCGCCAUUUAAAGUGGUACGCGAGCUGGGUUUAGAACGUCGUGAGACAGUUCGGUCCCUAUCUGCCGUGGGCGCUGGAGAACUGAGGGGGGCUGCUCCUAGUACGAGAGGACCGGAGUGGACGCAUCACUGGUGUUCGGGUUGUCAUGCCAAUGGCACUGCCCGGUAGCUAAAUGCGGAAGAGAUAAGUGCUGAAAGCAUCUAAGCACGAAACUUGCCCCGAGAUGAGUUCUCCCUGACUCCUUGA